rnacentral:tRNA from 1 species
GGGUCGGUAGCUCAGCGGCAGAGCGGGUGCCUGUUAAGCACCGGGUCGUGGGUUCGAGUCCCGCCCGUCCCU